GUUCAGCUUGUCUGUUUUUUUUUAAACUGGCUCUGCAGUGCUGAGUGAUGUUUAUCUCUGCUUAGGCCCAGCGCUGCGACACAGACGCACAAAAGACUUCCCAGCAGCCUUUGAGGGAGCAACUGUGGGCUUGACAGAGAAUGCUCUGACGAACCCAGGCAGACAAAAAGCAAGACCCAGAGCCAGAAUUCUUUCUUUGGUGAACAUUCUCAAAAAGGUAGGUGUAUCCUUAUUAUCUAUGCAAACCAA
rnacentral:lncRNA from 1 species